rnacentral:rRNA from 1 species
GAUGAACGCUGGCGGCGUGCCUAAUACAUGCAAGUCGAGCGAAUGGAUUAAGAGCUUGCUCUUAUGAAGUUAGCGGCGGACGGGUGAGUAACACGUGGGUAACCUGCCCAUAAGACUGGGAUAACUCCGGGAAACCGGGGCUAAUACCGGAUAACAUUUUGAACCGCAUGGUCCGAAAUUGAAAGGCGGCUUCGGCUGUCACUUAUGGAUGGACCCGCGUCGCAUUAGCUAGUUGGUGAGGUAACGGCUCACCAAGGCAACGAUGCGUAGCCGACCUGAGAGGGUGAUCGGCCACGCUGGGACUGAGACACGGCCCGGACUCCUACGGGAGGCAGCAGUAGGGAAUCUUCCGCAAUGGACGAAAGUCUGACGGGGCAACGCCGCGUGAGUGAUGAAGGCUUUCGGGUCGUAAAACUCUGUUGUUAGGGAAGAACAAGUGCUAGUUGAAUAAGCUGGCACCUUGACGGUACCUAACCAGAAAGCCACGGCUAACUACGUGCCAGCAGCCGCUGUAA